rnacentral:rRNA from 1 species
AUUGAACGCUGGCGGCAGGCCUAACACAUGCAAGUCGAGCGGAUGACGGGAGCUUGCUCCUGGAUUCAGCGGCGGACGGGUGAGUAAUGCCUAGGAAUCUGCCUGGUAGUGGGGGACAACGUUUCGAAAGGAACGCUAAUACCGCAUACGUCCUACGGGAGAAAGCAGGGGACCUUCGGGCCUUGCGCUAUCAGAUGAGCCUAGGUCGGAUUAGCUAGUUGGUGAGGUAAUGGCUUACCAAGGCGACGAUCCGUAACUGGUCUGAGAGGAUGAUCAGUCACACUGGAACUGAGACACGGUCCAGACUCCUACGGGAGGCAGCAGUGGGGAAUAUUGGACAAUGGGCGAAAGCCUGAUCCAGCCAUGCCGCGUGUGUGAAGAAGGUCUUCGGAUUGUAAAGCACUUUAAGUUGGGAGGAAGGGUUGUAGAUUAAUACUCUGCAAUUUUGACGUUACCGACAGAAUAAGCACCGGCUAACUCUGUGCCAGCCGCCGCAGUAA